rnacentral:rRNA from 1 species
GAUGAACGCUAGCUACAGGCUUAACACAUGCAAGUCGAGGGGCAGCAUGGUCUUAGCUUGCUAAGGCUGAUGGCGACCGGCGCACGGGUGAGUAACACGUAUCCAACCUGCCGUCUACUCUUGGACAGCCUUCUGAAAGGAAGAUUAAUACAAGAUGGCAUCAUGAAGUCCGCAUGUUCACAUGAUUAAAGGUAUUCCGGUAGACGAUGGGGAUGCGUUCCAUUAGAUAGUAGGCGGGGUAACGGCCCACCUAGUCUUCGAUGGAUAGGGGUUCUGAGAGGAAGGUCCCCCACAUUGGAACUGAGACACGGUCCAAACUCCUACGGGAGGCAGCAGUGAGGAAUAUUGGUCAAUGGGCGAGAGCCUGAACCAGCCAAGUAGCGUGAAGGAUGACUGCCCUAUGGGUUGUAAACUUCUUUUAUAAAGGAAUA